rnacentral:lncRNA from 1 species
UUCAACUAAUUGGAUAGACUUUAAAGUCAAGUUGAAGUUGGAAUUAAAUUUAUUUACACUAUUCUACAUAAUCAGAUGGUAGAAUAAACAAGCUCAUGUGUUGCAUAAACAAAGCACAAAAAAGAUAACUAGAAGUUUUCAUAUGAUGAUAAAGGCAAGCAACUUCCAGUAGCUAAGUUGAAGUGCUUUUGCUGAUUCAAUUGUGAAAAGAUAUUACAGAGGGAAAUGAAGCCAUAGAUGUUACAAUAAUUCCACAGAUCAGCUAAGUGACCUCAAUUGAAACUGGCCAACAAAUCUCAACCAAGACUGCAUCACAACUGUUUUCUGUUUAUGCCUUAUCAGGUACAAAAAAUUUUUUUUAAUUUUACAUAUUUCAUUUUGUAAACAAUUCUAAAGUCUAAAGCAUCCAUUAGGAUGAUGCUUUAGGCUUUAGAAUUAUGAGAGUCUCAUAAGAAGGCAGUAAAAAGUUGCUUGAAAGUUUCUACAAAAUUUUUACAAGAAAAUCUAUCCAAAAUACAUGAAAUUUUGGAUAACUUCUCUGAUAAUGCCCACUACUUGGAGCAAUGUUUCUGCAAUCUGCAGAGGAUUCAAUACUCUUCUCAAGCCUUAUGGUAAAUUCUUGCAUGAACAACACAGAAUUUUCCAGCAUUCAACAUUGAUCCAAUUUUUUAAGAAAACAUUCCAGCAGAAACAAAAGAAUUGGAGAACAACACUUUGGCCCUAACUUCCAUGACAACCCAGCAAGAAGAAAAAACAAAAAAAAACAAGCCUGCAAUGAUAGUACCCUUGUCACAAAGGAGUUUCAACCAAUGAUUUUUUGCAAAUUUAUUGUUAUACGAACUUUUUUA